rnacentral:rRNA from 1 species
UACCGAGGGGGCAAGCGUUGUUCGGAAUUACUGGGCGUAAAGGGCGCGUAGGCGGCCUUCUAAGUCGAACGUGAAAUCCCCGGGCUCAACCCGGGAACUGCGUCCGAUACUGGAAGGCUUGAAUCCGGGAGAGGGAUGCGGAAUUCCAGGUGUAGCGGUGAAAUGCGUAGAUAUCAGGAGGAACACCAAUGGCGAAGGCAGCACGCUGGGACGGUACUGACACUCAAGUGCGAAAGCGUGGGGAGCAAACAGG